AGCGAACGCUGGCGGCGUGCCUAACACAUGCAAGUCGAACGUGAAAAGGGGCAACCCUGAGUAAAGUGGCGUACGGGUGAGUAACGCGUAGGUAAUCUACCCCAAAGUCUGGAAUAACCUGCCGAAAGGCGGGCUAAUACUGGAUAGAGCGACGGAAUCCGUAAUUGGGUUUUUCGGGGAAGGGAGGAAGCAAUUCCCUUCGCUUUGGGAUGAGCCUGCGUAUCAUUGGCUAGUUGGUGGGGUAAUGGCCCACCAAGGCAUUGAUGGGUAGCUGGUCUGAGAGGAUGAUCAGCCACACUGGAACUUGAACACGGUCCAGACUCCUACGGGAGGCAGCAGUGGGGAAUCUUGCGCAAUGGACGAAAGUCUGACGGAGCAACGCCGCGUGAGCGAAGAAGGCCUUCGGGUCGUAAAGCUCUGUUGUCAGGGAAGAAUAAGUAUCGGAGUAACUGCCGGUACCUUGACGGUACCUGACCAGAAAGCCACGGCUAACUACGUGCCAGCCGCCGCAGUAAAAC
rnacentral:rRNA from 1 species